GGGUGAGUAAUGCUGUAGGAAGCUGCCCGAUAGAGGGGGAUACCAGUUUGGAAACGACUGUUAAUACCGCAUAAUGUCUACGGACCAAAGUGUGGGACCUACGGGCCACAUGCUAUCGGAUGCGCCUACGUGGGAUUAGCUAGUUGGUGAGGUAAUGGCUCACCAAGGCGACGAUCUCUAGCUGGUUUGAGAGGAUGAUCAGCCACACUGGAACUGAGACACGGUCCAGACUCCUACGGGAGGCAGCAGUGGGGAAUAUUGGACAAUGGGCGCAAGCCUGAUCCAGCCAUGCCGCGUGUGUGAAGAAGGCCUUCGGGUUGUAAAGCACUUUCAGCGAGGAGGAAGGGUGGUGUGUUAAUAGCACAUCAUUUUGACGUUACUCGCAGAAGAAGCACCGGCUAACUCUGUGCCAGCAGCCGCGGUAAUACAGAGGGUGCAA
rnacentral:rRNA from 1 species